rnacentral:rRNA from 1 species
UAGGGAAUCUUCCGCAAUGGGCGAAAGCCUGCCGGAGCAACGCCGCGUGAGUGAUGAAGGUCUUCGGAUCGUAAAACUCUGUUAUUCGGGAAGAACAAAUGUGUAAGUAACUAUGCACGUCUUGACGGUACCUAAUCAGAAAGCCACGGCUAACUACGUGCCAGCAGCCGCGGUAAUAAGUAGGUGGCAAGCGUUAUCCGGUAUUAUUGGGCGUAAAGCGCGCGUAGGCGGGUUUUUAAGUCUGAUGUGAAAGCCCACGGCUCAACCGUGGAGGGUCAUUGGAAACUGGAAAACUUGAGUGCAGAAGAGGAAAGUGGAAUUCCAUGUGUAGCGGUGAAAUACGCAAAGAUAUGGAGGAACACCAGUGGCGAAUGCGACUUUCUGGUCUGUAACAGACGCUGAUGUGCGAAAGCGGGGGGAUCAAACAGG